rnacentral:rRNA from 1 species
GGCUCAGGACGAACGCUGGCGGCGUGCUUAACACAUGCAAGUCGAACGGGGUGUUUAUUUCGGUAAACACCAAGUGGCGAACGGGUGAGUAACGCGUAAGCAAUCUACCUUCAAGAUGGGGACAACACUUCGAAAGGGGUGCUAAUACCGAAUGAAUGUAAGAGUAUCGCAUGAGACACUUACUAAAGGAGGCCUCUGAAAAUGCUUCCGCUUGAAGAUGAGCUUGCGUCUGAUUAGCUAGUUGGUGAGGGUAAAGGCCCACCAAGGCGACGAUCGGUAGCCGGACUGGGAGGUUGAACGGCCACAUUGGGACUGAGACACGGCCCAGACUCCUACGGGAGGCAGCAGUGGGGAAUAUUGCACAAUGGGGGAAACCCUGAUGCAGCGACGCCGCGUGGAGGAAGAAGGUCUUCGGAUUGUAAACUCCUGUUGUUGAGGAAGAUAAUGACGGUACUCAACAAGGAAGUGACGGCUAACUACGUG